rnacentral:lncRNA from 1 species
CUCUUCGAUAUCUUCGAGAUACUCAUUAAUCGAAACGGUCUGAUCACCUUCCUCUUCAAAUGCAUCAGCCAUGAUCAAAACCUAAAUCAAGCUAACAAAAAAGCCACAAAUCAAACUAAAUUAAAGAGCAAAAGAACCGUUAGAAAACCCUAGGGCACACGAAACCCUAAUUUCGUGAAGAAGAAAGGUGUCUAUAACCAAAACAAUCAGUGGAAUCCGUGAAGAUACAACUAUUAUCCAUAGGGAAAUUGAAGAGAAUACGCAACGAAUAGCUUUUGCUCUGUAAAAUUAUGUUAGCGUUUUAUUUCGAGGCAAAAAGGGCUGGAAGGACAUUUUCCC